rnacentral:rRNA from 1 species
CCUACGGGAGGCAGCAGUGAGGAAUAUUGGUCAAUGGGCGCUAGCCUGAACCAGCGAAGUAGCGUGAAGGAUGACUGCCCUCUGGGUUGUAAACUUCUUUUAUAUGGGAAUAAAAUGUUCCACGUGUGGGAUUUUGUAUGUACCAUAUGAAUAAGGAUCGGCUAACUCCGUGCCAGCAGCCGCGGUAAUACGGAGGAUCCGGGUGUUAUCCGGAUUUAUUGGGUUUAAAGGGAGCGUAGGUGGAUUGUGAAGUUAGUUGUGAAAGUUUGCGGCCCAACCGUAAAAUUGCAGUUGAAACUGGCAGUCUUGAGUACAGGAGAGGUGGGCGGAAUUCGUGGUGUAGCGGUGAAAUGCUUAGAUAUCACGAAGAACACCGAUUGCGAAGGCAGCUCACUGGACUGCAACUGACACUGAGGCUCGAAAGUGUGGGUAUCAAACAGGAUUAGAUACCCGAGUAGUC